UUAGACAUUUUCACUCCUGAUAGAAACACCCCUUCGUAUUUCUCCAUUUUCUUUUCUUCAUCCAAUCCCCCUCUGCCCUCUUGCCCGCAUCGCGUGCGCUAGGGUUUCCUGGGGGCCCGCGAAUGUUGCUGGCCGCGGAGUAGGCAGCUCGGCCCUUGGUGGCGCAGUUGCGGCGGCGGCGUCGAGAUCCGGCUAUGAUAGAAGCCCCUGGUGGCGCAGUUGUGGCGGCGGCGUCGAGAUCUGGCUGUGAUAGAAGCCGUGAGCGGUGGUUGGAGCGCGGCGGCGCUAGCGAGGUCCGACCUGCCGCUGGAGCAGGUGAUGCUUGGGAGGGGCCGACCUUCGGUGACCUGUGGCCGGAGCAAGGUGACGCGAGGCUCGGCGGCAAGCGCACAGCUCGGAGCAGCCGGAUCCGAGCGGUCGGCGUCUGAUUCGCCCGACAGUAGUUGCAUCCUUUUAUUCCCCUCAUUUUCCUCUUCCCAUUUUCUCGAUCUCCUCGCCAUUCCCAUUUGUUGUCUCGGGCAAUUUCGAUUCAAAUCUCAAUUUGCGAUGUUUGAUUGUGAUUUGGGAUGGCAGUUGGUGAAGCCUUCCACUCCUGCACACCCAUAUAUGUGCUAUGUCAGGUUGUGUUAGUUCAGCACAUCAGCUGAAUCAGGAAAACGAGAAGAUCAUCAGGCCUGCUGAGCAUGCUAGUCAGUUCAAGGUCUGCCGAUGUGGAGACUGGGGAGGGAGACACAUUUAAAACUGGUGAUAGUCUGCUAACUUGUUGACCUAAUUGCCAGGAGGCCGGAGAGCGGGCCACAGAGCCAGAUGAGGUGUGCGGAGAUGCCCAGCUCCGGCACAUAGAGGCGAACUGCACCCUGCACGCCGUCGACGCCGUGUGCGGCAGCUUAUGGAGGGGAGGGAGGGGAUGAAGACAGGGGAGCAAGCAAAUCAAUGCAAGCUGCCCGCGUGCGCCCAAUUUUCAUUUGACCCAAAUACUAAGCUGGGCCUUGAUGUUGCCUCUGUCUCAUCACAAGCAUUGCAGGUCAUGGUGUGGUCAUAAAGGGAAGCAAAUGUGCAUUCAUCAUUGAUGAAUUGCUUGUGAUGUAUCAUAUCGUAGUCUGCAGAUUAGAGUUAAUUGUUUGCAAGAUCCGAAUUAGUUAUGAUCAUUGCAUUUGCAGGUCAUAUGAUUGUGUCCAAUAUUUGAAAUUGUAAUGGGUAUUAGCUAAGAAAACCAGAUAAGGUUGCUUUUUGCACAGAAAACUAUGAGCAAAAUAGCUUGAAGUAUAGAUAAGACUGCCAGAGAAUCUGUGAGAUGUUGCUUGACCAGAAUUAUGAGCA